rnacentral:tRNA from 1 species
UCCCGGGUGGCUCAGAGGUUAAAGCGUCUGCCUGCAAUGCGGGAGACCCAGGUUCAAUCCCUGGGUUAGGAA